GUCGAGGGGUAUAUGUCUUCGGAUAUAGAGACCGGCGCACGGGUGCGUAACGCGUAUGCAAUCUGCCUUUCACAGAGGGAUAGCCCAGAGAAAUUUGGAUUAAUACCUCAUAGCAUUAUAGGAUGGCAUCAUUUUAUAAUUAAAGUCACAACGGUGAAAGAUGAGCAUGCGUCCCAUUAGCUAGUUGGUAAGGUAACGGCUUACCAAGGCAACGAUGGGUAGGGGUCCUGAGAGGGAGAUCCCCCACACUGGUACUGAGACACGGACCAGACUCCUACGGGAGGCAGCAGUGAGGAAUAUUGGUCAAUGGGCGCAAGCCUGAACCAGCCAUGCCGCGUGCAGGAUGACGGUCCUAUGGAUUGUAAACUGCUUUUGUACGGGAAGAAACACUCCUUCGUGAAGGAGCUUGACGGUACCGUAAGAAUAAGGAUCGGCUAACUCCGUGCCAGCAGCCGCGGUAAUACGGAGGAUCCAAGCGUUAUCCGGAAUCAUUGGGUUUAAAG
rnacentral:rRNA from 1 species